rnacentral:rRNA from 1 species
GUCCACGCCGUAAACGAUGUCAACUAGCCGUUGGAACCUUUAAGGUUUUAGUGGUGCAGCUAACGCGAUAAGUUGACCGCCUGGGGAGUACGGUCGCAAGAUUAAAACUCAAAUGAAUUGACGGGGGCCCGCACAAGCGGUGGAGUAUGUGGUUUAAUUCGAUGCAACGCGAAGAACCUUACCUGGCCUUGACAUGUCCGGAACUUACCAGAGAUGGUUUGGUGCCUUCGGGAACCGGAACACAGGUGCUGCAUGGCUGUCGU